rnacentral:sRNA from 1 species
UCAGUCUAAUUUAGGCUGUAUACAUUAUCAUAUAUGUGGCUAUCGAGUCUGUGCGCUGCCGUGCUGCUGCGCCGCUGAGCUGCUAUGAUUUAGCGGAUUUAAUCGUAUCUCUUAGGACUUUUCUGCAGGAAGCCAGUCCGCCCAGGAACCACUAUGCUUGGCGCAGGGGCUUAUUUUCUGUUUCACUUCCAUUUGUCCGAACCCUGAGCCGGGACCCUCUGCUGAGCAGAAUCCUGCCUUGGUGCCACCGUUGUUAGACAUCUUACCUCAGCAUAGACGGCAACCUCGAGAGGAGACGCAUGGCUUAAUGUGUGUCUCCAGCUGUCAAAUGACCUACAAAGAAGUUUGAUCAUCAACAACAAAUGUGCAUCCGCUCAGGAGAAGACCCUUACCUCAAACACACAGCGGGAUGGCUGCAGUCCAUGAACUUUGAGUAUGAUGAAAGUCUACUCUCCACACCACCACCAAGACGGGCAGCAGCCAGCCCGUCUUUCCUCAGAUCUGCCUCCGCUUACAGAUUCCUGACUUGCAAACCGAAAAGAAGAAUCUCACGCACCAUUUCUCUGCCAGCUGAGUUCCUGUCCUGGGAUUGAACUUAGCUGUCGCGCUUGAGAGAUGGCGUUUUUACCAGGUAAGCCAUCUCCCUGGCCCCUUUCAGUGCCCUUUAUGUUCAAGAAUAAGAAGUCUGCAUCUGAAGAACGUGAAGGUGGAUCGACGAUAUCAGCAACGUUAAUUGGCUCGUUUCUCAGUGGCUACAAAGAAAGGAGCUUGUGAUUAAUAAGGCUUUGAUUUUUCCAGUGUAUUUUAUUUUGAUGUUUUAAGACGGAGCUUCACCGUGUUGCCCAGGCUGCUCCAUCUGCCUCGGUCUUCCAAGUAGCUGGGAUUACAGGCAUGUACCGCCAUGUACCGCCAUGUUGGGCACGGUGUACUUCUAUUUGGUAGUUGAUACAAUGGCAUUAUGCAACACUGACCAGACUUGGUUAGGUCACCUCUUGCAGGGGGGAAUUCUGUGGUUUCCUUUCCCUACUAGACCUGUGUCAUUGAGCAAACUAAAUUAGCAGAGCAAUUCACCCCUACAUAAGCCAUUAAUGAAGUGCCUCCAUUAUACAUGCAUAUUCAUUAGCUCGCCCCUGAGGAAUUCUCCAUCAAUCCCAGCACACAAAGCCCUGACAAGUCAAGACAGAUGAAGCUUCUCCGUGGUCGAGGAGGUGCUAGCUUCCUGUAUUGUAACACGGAGUGAGUGUCCGUGGCGCUUUCCUUUGUAAAGCUGAGAGAUACUGUGGCUCCCACACAAUGGGAGAGGAUCACAGAGCUCACAGGACAACCAGGGCUCGUCUGGUAUGGCACACAGAAUGGGAGCGGUGGCUCUUUUUCAUCUUCCCGUAAACUUCCUGGGAAAUGAUCUUUCUGAAAGCUUCGUUAAGAAGGAAAUGGCCAUCUAGGUUUUAUUUCGGUCCAUAUUCUAAGAAUUUUGAAACAUGAAACGUGUUCCAGGAAAAAUGAAACAACAUUCAGGUUCAUUUCCUAAAGAUUUCCUAGUCAGGGCCUUAUGGUAACUACCUAAUCCCUUCCGAGGACAGCGUCCCAAUGUCCUAGUCACCUCUCCAAUACUCCAUCUUUCUUAAAGGUCCCCACCACUAUACAGUCUACAACCAUUGGAGGACAAAGUAUAUCCAAGUCAGAGCAUUGGUAUUAAGUAAAUACUUCCUUAAUACAACCACUUAGGUAUCCUCCCCCUUACCCCGCCCUGUGUGUGUGUGCGUGUGUUUCUCUGUCUUUCCCCUACUCAUAAGUUGGGGCACAGUCUGUUGCUUCAACUUUCUAACUAAAUCCAGUAUGCUAGGAUGAGAAAGAAGAGAAGAGAAACAAUAAAAAAAAAAAUCAAAACACACUCCACCCCACACCUGGAAACUAUGCCCCUCCCCCAAGCAUUUUGCAGAAGACUGAAGGUGACCAGAAAUGGUGGCUUCGGACUGAGAAAUCCCUCGGAAAGGAGGAAUAUCCCUUUGGCCUCACAGUGCUUGCAAGGCUGCAGUUACAGAGCAAGUAAUGUCCUUAAACUCCCCAGGAAUUGAAGAUCCUUAGUACACUGAUGACAAAUUUAUUUGAGAAAGAUUGUCAUCUGAGGAGGCUGACUUUCGUCCCCAAAUUUGGGGUUUUAAGAAGCAAAUUAGAGCCAGGUUCUUGGCAACAGAGCUGAUAAAAUAUUUAAUACAGAAGAAAUUAAAAAUAAAUAAACAAGUUUAAAAUGAAUGUAAAUUUUAAAAAAAAACAUGAAGUAUUUGACUAUAAAAUAUUUUGUUGGAGUUUUUAACGGGCACCAGAAUUUGACUAUGUUCAUCCUGCCACUUACAAGAAAUAAAAAAGGAAGGCAGAAAUCACGGAGAGUCACAGGAUGACUCCUCGCUUGUCAUUAACAUCUUUUACGAUGGCAGUAGGAAAGAGUCGCUGACCCAGCUAGCCUGGAUUAAUACUGAGCUCUAUGCCGAAGAGAAUCAACCCACAAAAUCCUUUAACUGUAGGCCGUGGGCAGAGGGCAUUUCCCUGAAAGGAAGGACACACAAAGGCUCACCUGAGCACAUGCUUGGAACGACCCAUUAGCUCAUUUGAAUCUUCAAUCUGUAGAUCUGGAGGGCUGGAGGGCAUCGAGGACCAUUUUGAUACAGGCAGAGGCAGAAUUUGCUCUGUUUCAAUUUUAGAAUCUGUGCUAAAAUGGGCAAUUUAGAAUAAUAAAGCUAUCAUGUGCUUCUUGGUC